GAAAUGCGAUAAGUAAUGUGAAUUGCAGAAUUCAGUGAAUCAUCGAAUCUUUGAACGCAUCUUGCGCUCCUUGGUAUUCCUUGGAGCAUGCCUGUUUGAGUAUCAUGAAAUCUUCAAAGUAAAUCUUUUGUUAACUCAAUUGGUUUCUACUUUGGUAUUGGAGGUCUUUGCAGCUUCACACCUGCUCCUCUUUGUUCAUUAGCUGGAUCUCAGUGUUAUGCUUGGUUCCACUCGGCGUGAUAAGUUAUCUAUCGCUGAGGACACUGUAAAAGGUGGCCAAGGUAAAUGCAGAUGAACCGCUUCUAAUAGUCCAUUGACUUGGACAAUACUUUUAUGAUCCGAUCUCAAAUCAGGUAGGACUACCCGCUGAACUUAAGC
rnacentral:misc_RNA from 1 species